GAUCUACUGUCAUGGGUGGCUACGCUGGUUGCACGACCUCAUGAGGAGCAGACUACUAGGUGGCUCUAUCUUGGCUUCGUUGAGUUGACUGUCGGCAAAAUUAAGCAGUAGAGUUGUUGCAUCUUGCCAUUCUUCUCUCACUUAGUCGGGUUGCUAGACCCUUUCUCUAGCACCAAACUAUUGCAUAAUGCUCUAAACUGGGGAGGAGUAGCUA
rnacentral:lncRNA from 1 species